GUUGAGCGUUUUAUUGCUCGAUGCACUACAUGUCAAAAAGCUAAGUCACGACUCAAUCCUCAUGGUUUAUAUAUGCCUUUGCAUGUACCUACUGUUCCUUGGGAGGAUAUAUCUAUGGACUUUGUUUUAGGUUUACCUCGAACAAAGAAGGGGAGGGAUAGCAUAUUUGUUGUCGUGGAUAGAUUCUCGAAAAUGGCACACUUUAUACCAUGUCAUAAAAGCGAUGAUGCUGUUAAUGUUGCUGAUUUGUUCUUUCGUGAAAUUAUUCGCUUGCAUGGUGUGCCAAAUACUAUUGUUUCAGAUCAUGAUACUAAAUUUCUUAGCCACUUUUGGAGAUGUUUAUGGGCUAAGUUGGGGACUAAACUGCUUUUUAGUACUACUUGUCACCCCCAAACUGAUGGACAAACUGAAGUAGUCAAUAGAACGUUGUCUACUAUGCUUAGGCCUGUUUUGAAGAAUAAUAAGAAAAUGUGGGAGGAAUGCUUGCCUCAUAUUGAAUUUGCUUAUAAUCGUUCAUUGCAUUCUACUACUAAGAUGUGCCCUUUUGAAGUUGUGUAUGGUUUCCUACCUCGUGCACCUAUUGAUUUGUUGCCUCUUCCAUCUUCGGAGAAGGUUAAUUUUGAUGCUAAACAACGUGCUGAAUUGAUUUUAAAAAUGCAUGAGUUAACUAAGGAAAACAUUGAGCGUAUGAAUGCUAAAUAUAAACUUGCUGGAGAUAAGGGUAGAAAACAUGUUGUGUUUGCACCUGGAGAUCUU
rnacentral:rRNA from 1 species